AGAUUGAACGCUGGCGGCAGGCCUAACACAUGCAAGUCGUGCGGUAGAGAGGUGCUUGCACCUCUUGAGAGCGGCGGACGGGUGAGUAAUGCCUAGGAAUCUGCCUAGUGGUGGGGGAUAACGUUCGGAAACGGACGCUAAUACCGCAUACGUCCUACGGGAGAAAGCGGGGGACCUUCGGGCCUCGCGCCAUUAGAUGAGCCUAGGUCGGAUUAGCUAGUUGGUGAGGUAAUGGCUCACCAAGGCGACGAUCCGUAACUGGUCUGAGAGGAUGAUCAGUCACACUGGAACUGAGACACGGUCCAGACUCCUACGGGAGGCAGCAGUGGGAAUAUUGGACAAUGGGCGAAAGCCUGAUCCAGCCAUGCCGCGUGUGUGAAGAAGGUCUUCGGAUUGUAAAGCACUUUAAGUUGGAGAAGGUUGUAACUUAAUACGUUGCAACUUUGACGUUACGACAGAAUAAGCACGGCUAAACUCGUGCCAGUAGCCG
rnacentral:rRNA from 1 species